rnacentral:lncRNA from 1 species
UCAAUAUACGGUCAUAAAUGUAGCAAAUUCGUGCUUGUGUCAAUUUCUUUAAUCCAGUCAUGUUUUUUGUACCAAUGUGUUCCACGAUUCUUGCGCUUUGGAUAUCAUUGAAAGUCCAAAUUUCUUGACACAAAAUCAUUGUAUAAAUAAAUAAAAUCCACGGUUUUCUAAUCACCGAAAUUUCAGUAACAUACCGCGAUUUGCGUUCUUGGACACAGCGUUUUACUCGUAACCCGAAUAUAUCAUCCCCUUCUCGUAACCAAUCUCUAUUCUCGGUAGAUGAUGUUGUCAUCAAUGAUCAGCAGAAUAUGUCGACUUAAUCAUUUUAGUUAGAUUACUCGAAUAAUAGCCUGGGCAACGCGCAGCUAGAUUGGGACGGGAUGCCAGGCUAACUCGAAGAAGUACAAAACCGAAA